rnacentral:rRNA from 1 species
CCUACGGGAGGCAGCAGUGGGGAAUAUUGCACAAUGGGGGAAACCCUGAUCCAGCGACGCCAUGUGAGUGAAGAAGUAUUUCGGUAUGUAAAGCUCUAUCAGCAGGGAAGAAAAUGACGGUACCUGAUUAAGAAGACCCGGCUACAUACGUGCCAGCAGCGGCGGUAAUACGUAGGGGGCGAGAGUUAUCCGGAUUUAGUGGGUGUAAAGGGGGCGUAGACGGGAGCACAAGUCUGGAGUGAAAUGCCGGGGCUUAACCCCGGAACUGCUUUGGAAACUGUGGAGCUAGAGUGCAGGAGAGGUAAGUGGAAUUCCUAGUGUAGCGGUGAAAUGCGUAGAUAUUAGGAGGAACACCAGUGGCGAAGGCGGCUUACUGGACUGUAACUGACGCUGAGGCUCGAAAGCGUGGGGAGCAAACAGGAUUAGAUACCCGAGUAGUC